GCCAGGUGCGGUGGCGCAUGCCUGCAGUCCCAGCUACUCCAGAGGCUGAGGCUGGAGGAUCGCUUGAGCCCAGGAGUUCUGGGCUGUAGUGUGCUAUGUCAAUUGGGUGUCAGCACCAAGUUCAGCAUUAAUAUGGUAACCUCCCAGGAGCGGGGGACCACCAGGUUGCCUAAGGAGGGGUGAACCGGCCCAGGUCAGAAACAGAGCAGGUCAAAACUCCCAUGCUGAUCAGUAGUGGGAUCGUGCCUGUGAAUAGCCACUGUACUCCAGCCUGGGCAACAUAGCGAGACCUCAUCUCU
rnacentral:SRP_RNA from 1 species